rnacentral:rRNA from 1 species
AUUGAACGCUGGCGGCAGGCCUAACACAUGCAAGUCGAGCGAGCGGCGGACGGGUGAGUAAUGUCUGGGAACCUGCCCGAUGGAGGGGGGUAACUACUGGAAACGGUAGCUAAUACCGCAUACUAUCGGAUGUACCCAUAUGGGAUUAGCUAGUAGGUGGGGUAAGGGCUCACCUAGGCGACGAUCCCUAGCUGGUCUGAGAGGAUGACCAGCCACACUGGGACUGAGACACGGCCCAGACUCCUACGGGAGGCAGCAGUGGGGAAUAUUGCACAAUGGGCGCAAGCCUGAUGCAGCCAUGCCGCGUGUGUGAAGAAGGCCUUCGGGUUGUAAAGCACUUUCAGCGGGGAGGCGUUACCGACAGAAGAAGCACCGGCUAACUCCGUGCCAGCAGCCGCGGUAAUUC